UUUCCCUCAGGAUAGCUGGCACUCGCUCGAGCGAGUCUCAUCUGGUAAAGCGAAUGAUUAGAGGCCUUGGGGCCGAAACGACCUCAACCUAUUCUCAAACUUUAAAUGGGUGAGAUCUCUGGCUUGCUUGAACAUUGAAGCCACGAGAUUGUUCCGAACGGAUCAGAGUGCCAAGUGGGCCAAUUUUGGUAAGCAGAACUGGCGCUGUGGGA
rnacentral:rRNA from 1 species